rnacentral:rRNA from 1 species
UACGAAGGUCCCAAGCGUUAUCCGGAUUUAUUGGGUUUAAAGGGUGCGUAGGCGGGUUAUUAAGUCAGUGGUGAAAGCCUUCAGCUUAACUGAAGAACUGCCAUUGAUACUGAUGAUCUUGAGUAUGAUUGAGGUGGGCGGAAUGUGUCAUGUAGCGGUGAAAUGCUUAGAUAUGACACAGAACACCGAUUGCGAAGGCAGCUCACUAAGCCAUAACUGACGCUGAUGCACGAAAAGCCGUGG